rnacentral:ncRNA from 2 species
AAAGAUACGAAGGACCCAACAGGGGGA